rnacentral:rRNA from 1 species
UGAAUACGAGACGCUACGGCGUCGAAGCAGUCUAUGUCAUACUUCCAAGAAAAGCUCGCUAUGUCAUAAACCAAGAAUGCCUGUACCAUAACCGACACAGGUGGGUAGGUAGAGUAUACUAAGGGGCGCGAGAUAACUCUCUCUAAGGAACUCGGCAAAAUGACUCCGUAACUUCGGGAGAAGGAGUGCCUUAUUUCUAAGGUUGCAAUAACAAGAUCCAAGCAACUGUUUAUCAAAAACACAGGUCUCCGCUAAGUCGUAAGACGAUGUAUGGGGGCUGACGCCUGCCCAGUGCCAGAAGGUUAAAGAAGUUGGUUAGCAUUCGCGAAGCUGAUAACUGAAGCCCUGGUGAACGGCGGCCGUAACUAUAACGGUCCUAAGGUAGCGAAAUUCCUUGUCGGGUAAGUUCCGACCCGCACGAAAGGCGUAAUGAUUUGGAUACUGUCUCGGAGAGGGACUCGGUGAAAUAGACUUGUCUGUGAAGAUGCGGACUACCUGCACCUGGACAGAAAGACCCUAUGAAGCUUUACUGUAACUUGACAUUGAAAUUGGACUUUAUUUGCGCAGUAUAGGUGGGAGGCGUUGAGCAGAUUCUUGCGGGAAUCUGGGAGCCAUCAGUGAGAUACCACUCUUGUAAUGUUAGAUAUCUAACUUUGGAUCCUGAUCGGUCAAAGAACAGUGUCAGGCGGGCAGUUUGACUGGGGCGGUCGCCUCCCAAACGGUAACGGAGGCGUACAAAGGUUUCCUCUGAACGGGUAGAAAUCGUAUCUAGAGUGUAAAGGCAUAACGAAGCUUGACUGUGAGACCUACAAGUCGAGCAGGGACGAAAGUCGGUCUUAGUGAUCUGACGGUGCUGAGUGGAAAGGCCGUCACUCAACGGAUAAAAGUUACUCUAGGAUAACAGGCUGAUCUCCCCCAAGAGUUCACAUCGACGGGGAGGUUUGGCACCUCGAUGUCGGCUCAUCGCAUCCUGGGGCGGUAGUACGUCCCAAGGGUUGGGCUGUUCGCCCAUGAAAGCGGUACGCGAGCUGGGUUCAGAACGUCGUGAGACAGUUCGGUCCAUAUCCGGUGUAGGCGUUAGAAUAUUGAGAGGAGCCUUCUUUAGUACGAGAGGACCGAGAAGGACAUACCUCUGGUGUACCAGUUAUCGUGCCAACGGUAAACGCUGGGUAGCUAUGUAUGGAGAGGAUAACCGCUGAAAGCAUCUAAGUGGGAAGCCCACCUCAAGAUAAGUAUUCUCC